rnacentral:rRNA from 1 species
UACGUAGGGGGCGAGCGUUGUCCGGAUUCAUUGGGCGUAAAGAGCUCGUAGGCGGCUUGGCAAGUCGGAUGUGAAAACUCCAGGCUCAACCUGGAGCCGCCAUUCGAUACUGCUAUGGCUAGAGUCCGGUAGGGGAGUGUGGAAUUCCCGGUGUAGCGGUGAAAUGCGCAGAUAUCGGGGGGAACACCGAUGGCGAAGGCAGCACUCUGGGCCGGUACUGACGCUGAGGAGCGAAAGCGUGGGGAGCGAACAGG